rnacentral:rRNA from 1 species
CGGAGGGAUCAUUACACAAAUAUGAAGGCGGGCUGGAACCUCUCGGGGUUACAGCCUUGCUGAAUUAUUCACCCUUGUCUUUUGCGUACUUCUUGUUUCCUUGGUGGGUUCGCCCACCACUAGGACAAACAUAAACCUUUUGUAAUUGCAAUCAGCGUCAGUAACAAAUUAAUAAUUACAACUUUCAACAACGGAUCUCUUGGUUCUGGCAUCGAUGAAGAACGCAGCGAAAUGCGAUAAGUAGUGUGAAUUGCAGAAUUCAGUGAAUCAUCGAAUCUUUGAACGCACAUUGCGCCCUUUGGUAUUCCAAAGGGCAUGCCUGUUCGAGCGUCAUUUGUACCCUCAAGCUUUGCUUGGUGUUGGGCGUCUUGUCUCUAGCUUUGCUGGAGACUCGCCUUAAAGUAAUUGGCAGCCGGCCUACUGGUUUCGGAGCGCAGCACAAGUCGCACUCUCUAUCAGCAAAGGUCUAGCAUCCAUUAAGCCUUUUUUUCAACUUUUGACCUCGGAUCAGGUAGGGAUACCCGCUGAACUUAAGCAUAUCAAU